GUCUGUUUGUAGAUAUAAAAAGUCUAGCCUGCCCACUGAUAAGUAAUUUUAAUGGCCGCGGUAUUUCUGACUGUGCAAAGGUAGCAUAAUAGUUAGUUUCUUAAUUGGAAUCUUGUAUGAAUGGUUUGACAAGAAAAAAUCUGUCUCACAAUUAUUUAUUGAAUUUAACUUUUAAGUGAAAAGGCUUAAAUGAAUUAAAAAGACGAUAAGACCCUAUAAAGCUUAAUAUUAUUUUAUUAUUUAAUAGAAUUUUUUUAAAUAUAAAUGUUUGGUAAUAAUUUAUAUUUUAUUGGGGUGAUAAUAAUAAAAUGAUUAUUAACUGUUAAUUAUUUAAAACAAAAAUAAAUGAAUAUAAAUAAUUUAGUAAAUGAUCCUAUAUUAAAGAUUAAAAGUUUAAGUUACUUUAGGGAUAACAGCGUUAUUUUUUUUGAGAGUUCUUAUCGAAAAAAAAGUNUGCGACCUCGAUGUUGAAUUAAAAUAUCUAUAUAAUUGCAGUAGUUA
rnacentral:rRNA from 1 species